UUUAGGGAGACCUCCCGCUUUGACACUUGCCAUCAGUGCAGUGCAAAGACGGUCAUUCCCAGGUCGUGCGGAUAGUGAGCUUGACUUUCAAUCUGAUCUAGUCGGGAUUCGACUAAGAGCUAGCACUCGAUGAGUAGACCAAGACUCGCGAUUUGCUGGCUUUUAUAGUCAGCAACAAUGCACCUAGACAACUACAUAGAGAAUCGUCAGGUAGAACAAAGAAAUCACAAGACGCCGAUAUUGCGAGCGAGCAAUGAAU
rnacentral:misc_RNA from 1 species